UUACAUUUCUUUGCUAUAUCAACCUUACUCGGACAGGCUUUCAGAUCAUUGAUGGAUGUAGUGUUUAGCAGUGGGUGUGUUUGUUUUACAUAGAAGUUGAACUUAUGGCAUCAGAAAUAUUUUCAUUGCAAGAGGAAUAUUAGUAAGGAAGUAGUAGAUUUUGAAAAAAAAAUAUGAUAUAUAUUUGAUAAAUCUAGUAAUUCUGACAGAUAAAGCUUAUCAUAUUUUGUAAUGCAUUGCCUUAUUUGUUUUGUAGGAUCCUUUUGAUGUAGGUGUACAUAAGCAGACCAAUGACAGUCAGGGAACUAGAGAAAACCCUAUUCUUGUUCCAACAGUUGAGGGAUACAGGCUUGUAGGAUGUGUUUGUGAGGAGGAUUUGACAGAGGUGUGCUGGAUGACCAUUCAUCAUGGAACUAAGAGGCAGUGUAAUUGUGGAAAUUGGUUCCAGUGUGUGCAAAUUCCUGGAGCUGUAGCCCAUUAAUAUAAUAAAACUUCUCUAUUCUUUAGUAAACAAUUAUAAAUGACAUUGUAUGUAUGAUGAUAUCAAUUUUGAAUAUUCAAAUCAUCAGGUUUUGUUUUGCAAAAAAAAAGGAACAGAAAAUAUAUGUCAAAAUUUAUAAAUUUGUUGUUUUGAAAUACUAAGAAAAUUUGGCAAGUUGUAUCAGAUGUCAAUUUCCCCUGGUUUUCUUUGGUCUUGAAAGUUGGCAAAAGUUUAAAGUUAUUGUAUUUAUUUUUAAUCAUCAGCUAUAUUGUGAGCCAUUUUUUUCUCUUUUUUGACUGAGGAAUUAGAAAAUAGCAUAAUUAUUCUGUUUGAUUAGGGAUGUGCUGUUUGAAAAAAGGAAUUAAAAUAUGAUUUAAAUAUAAAAA